GUAAUAGCUCACUGGUCGAGUCGGCCUGCGCGGAAGAUGUAACGGGGCUCAAACCAUACACCGAAGCUACGGGUAUCACCUUCGGGUGAUGCGGUAGAGGAGCGUUCUGUAAGCCUGUGAAGGUGAGUUGAGAAGCUUGCUGGAGGUAUCAGAAGUGCGAAUGCUGACAUGAGUAACGACAAUGCGGGUGAAAAACCCGCACGCCGGAAGACCAAGGGUUCCUGCGCAACGCUAAUCGGCGCAGGGUGAGUCGGCCCCUAAGGUGAGGCAGAGAUGCGUAGCUGAUGGGA
rnacentral:rRNA from 11 species